UACGAAGGGUGCAAACGUUGCUCGGAAUCAUUGGGCGUAAAGCGCACGUAGGCGGCCCCGCAAGUCGGACGUGAAAUCCCUCAGCUCAACUGAGGACGUGCAUCCGAAACUGCAGGGCUUGAGUACUGAAGAGGAUCGCGGAAUUCCCGGUGUAGAGGUGAAAUUCGUAGAUAUCGGGAGGAACACCAGUGGCGAAGGCGGCGAUCUGGGCAGAUACUGACGCUGAGGUGCGAAAGCUAGGGGAGCAAACGGG
rnacentral:rRNA from 1 species